CCUUUCAUGUAUUUUGAUAUGAAUAUGUAUGUUUAGAUCAAUAUGCAGUCAAGGGGAGGGAGCUUUGUAUUUUCUUCAUGUUUGUCUAUUUAAUUAUGUUAAAAUUCAAUGUAUUCUAUGCUUUUAUUUGUGUUCUAAUGAAAAAAUGUAUACUAUGCUUUUAUUUGUAAGUAUAGAAAUAUUUAUGUACUUUUAUAUUUUUGUCUCUUUUCAUUUUUGAGCUAAUUUUUUUCCGG
rnacentral:lncRNA from 1 species